UACAGAGGUGGCAAGCGUUGUUCGGAAUUACUGGGCGUAAAGGGCGCGUAGGCGGCCUUCUCAGUCAGACGUGAAAUCCCCCGGCUUAACCUGGGAACUGCGUCUGAUACUGGAAGGCUGGAGUUCGGGAGGGGGAUGUGGAAUUCCAGGUGUAGCGGUGAAAUGCGUAGAUAUCUGGAGGAACACCGGUGGCGAAGGCGGCAUCCUGGACCGAAACUGACGCUGAGGCGCGAAAGCCAGGGGAGCAAACGGG
rnacentral:rRNA from 1 species